rnacentral:rRNA from 1 species
AGUGAACGCUGGCGGUAGGCCUAACACAUGCAAGUCGAACGGCAGCACAGUAAGAGCUUGCUCUUACGGGUGGCGAGUGGCGGACGGGUGAGGAAUACAUCGGAAUCUACUUUUUCGUGGGGGAUAACGUAGGGAAACUUACGCUAAUACCGCAUACGACCUACGGGUGAAAGCAGGGGAUCUUCGGACCUUGCGCGAUUGAAUGAGCCGAUGUCGGAUUAGCUAGUUGGCGGGGUAAAGGCCCACCAAGGCGACGAUCCGUAGCUGGUCUGAGAGGAUGAUCAGCCACACUGAACUGAGACACGGUCCAGACUCCUACGGGAGGCAGCAGUGGGGAAUAUUGGACAAUGGGCGCAAGCCUGAUCCAGCCAUACCGCGUGGGUGAAGAAGGCCUUCGGGUUGUAAAGCCCUUUUGUUGGGAAAGAAAAGCAGCAAGUUAAUACCCCGCUGUUCUGACGGUACCCAAAGAAUAAGCACCGGCUAACUUCGUG